AAUCAAUUCAAGAAAUGCUUUGCAGAUCAUCCCAGGCCCCCAGCUCAAAGAACCAUCACAAGGUUUUGUGGACCAAGGGGAUUAGCACUGUUUUCCCAAGACAGGUUAUGUGAUUAUGAUCUUCAGGCUUUGCCUAUCCAGGUUGAGCAGUUGAUGGAAUGGAAUGAUGUUGAGCGGGUGUUCCUUUGACAUUUCAAGAAAUGUAACCUUGAGUAUACAUCUUCAUAUGUAUAUCUCACACGUUUUCCGCUGCAAAACACUUUGAUUAGGAUAACUCUAUAUUAUGAAGUUGUUACACGUGUUAUUGGGUAAACCACCUUAAUCAGUUCUCUUUUAUGUGUAUGUUUUAUAAGUAUCCAAAUGAUCAUAUAUGAUCCUAGCUUUUUAUCUAUAAGUGAUAUUUUCAUAUACUUUAAUGUUAA